rnacentral:ncRNA from 1 species
CCUCGAUAAGGACGAGAAAAGUCUCCGACUUUCAACAUACACACAAAUGGUUAAGGCAUUGCCACCUACUUUGUGGCAUCUGACCAUCUUUU